GCGACCUUGGUCGAGUUGGUACGGCGCUAGGCUAUGAACCUCGCACUCGUGGGUUCGAUCCCCACUGAGGGUGUAGGUUGCA